GAAAAGAGUAGGUGGGGUUUUUUUGACUGGGGGGUCCCUGCCUCAUGGUAGGGGUUAUAGUCAGAGUCUGAGAUAUCGCUAGCAAUCUUCGCUGAGCGGAGACUGCUAGCAAACAGGAGGUCCGAGGCCGCUUCCAGGUGAGCUGUGGAGUAGUAGCGAUGAAAGCUGAAGUCACCCCGGCUGGGUAGAGCCCCCAGAGCAGCCCUGACCUUCCAGCGUCUUUGGACUCCACCAACCCAAGAGUACAAACUGUGCAGUCCAGUGAAUCUCCUGCCCCUGUGCUUGUUAUCAGAACCGCAGGAAAUCCCUUGGUCUUCAUGGCCCUGCCACUGUCCAGCUUGAAAAUUUCCUGUUGCUGCUAUCUCAGCUUUCCCAGUGAGGCUGGUACGGAGGUAAGGCUGAGGAGAAAUAAGACUCGGUACUUAAGCAUGGGCCUAACUUUACGCACAUAACUAGUUCCCUUGAAGUCACUGAUGAUACUCCCCUGAAGACGUGACCCAAUAAGUGAUGUUUUGGUUCAGUGGCCAAACCAAAAAUUCUGAAAAAAAUAAAAUAAACUUGAGCCAAUCGGAAAUGGAAAUGUCUUGUUUUGAUUUUUUUCUCAUCAAAAUGAAAAACCAAAGAAUAUCAUUUGACCCAGAAAGAAUUUUUGGAGGGCUUUUUUCAUUGUUUUAUAUCCAUUUUUGUUUUGUUUUUUAAAUGAAGUCAAAACUCAGUCUUUCAUUUUGAAAACGCUUUAACUUAAAAAAAUCAUUUUUGGGGCUACAACUACUUGCAGAAUUUGGCCCAAAUUCACAAAUUGCUGCAGUCGACCCCAAAUUGCAUUUUUUUUUUUUUUUUUUGGUGAACGAACUAUUUUUGGUGGAAAACGUUGCCGUGUUACUCGUGUGUUUUACAAUUAGGCACGUGCUUAAGCACCUUGCUGAAUUGGGGCCCAAAGGUGAGCGCAGGUUCCAAAUGGAAAUUGCUCUUAGAUGGUGAGGUUAAAAAGUGAGGAAUUAUUUCUUUGCCUGCGUGGGAAAUGGAGGGACGUGACAGGAUCCCAACAGUGAGGGAAUGAGAAAUAGGCCGUUCUCUGGGAGGUGAUGUCCCUGGGUUGCUAACACCGGCUCCGCAUGCUGAGCCAAUAGAAAGCCUCCCAAUGACGCCAGUAAUAAUGGUGUAAUUUUGUAAAUCUUUGCGGUUUGCGAUGAUGGCGAGACUAACCCAGAGGAGGACGGAGAGAGGCAUUCCUCGUGCCACAGCACACCGGCGCGCCUGUUUGUUGUCCCAGUUCCUGCACUGUAUUAAUUGCACCUUGCUAGGAAUCCAGGCCAGGAGGUGGUCAAAACCCAGGUGAGCUUCCAAGUGUCUGGCUGUGUUUCUGCGAGUGCUAGUCAUGAAACUGAUUUAAUCUAGAAGAGUCUCCACGGCCACUGCACUGGGUGGAAUGUAAGAGGCUUGGGGAAGUAAAAAUUCCUUCCAUCAGCGGCGAAACUGUUUUGAGUGACUGGCAGGCAUGAUGGUGGAGGCAGGGAAAAGCCUGC